rnacentral:tRNA from 1 species
AUUUUAUUAGUAUAAAUAGUAUGCUUGUUUUCCAAACAAGUGGUUUAAAUUUCUUAAAUAAAAUA